rnacentral:rRNA from 1 species
CAGCAGCCGCGGGAAUACGGAGGGUGCAAGCGUUAAUCGGAAUUACUGGGCGUAAAGCGCACGCAGGCGGUCUGACAAGUCAGAUGUGAAAUCCCCGGGCUUAACCUGGGAACUGCAUUUGAAACUGUCAGGCUGGAGUCUUGUAGAGGGGGGUAGAAUUCCAGGUGUAGCGGUGAAAUGCGUAGAGAUCUGGAGGAAUACCGGUGGCGAAGGCGGCCCCCUGGACAAAGACUGACGCUCAGGUGCGAAAGCGUGGGGAGCAAACAGGAUUAGAUACCCCAGUAGUCCCUGUCUAUUAUAC